CGGCGAGUGAAGCGGCAAAAGCUCAAAUUUGAAAUCUGGCGCCUUCGGUGUCCGAGUUGUAAUUUGAAGAUUGUAACCUUGGGGUUGGCUCUUGUCUAUGUUUCUUGGAACAGGACGUCACAGAGGGUGAGAAUCCCGUGCGAUGAGAUGCCCAAUUCUAUGUAAGGUGCUUUCGAAGAGUCGAGUUGUUUGGGAAUGCAGCUCUAAGUGGGUGGUAAAUUCCAUCUAAAGCUAAAUAUUGGCGAGAGACCGAUAGCGAACAAGUACAGUGAUGGAAAGAUGAAAAGAACUUUGAAAAGAGAGUGAAAAAGUACGUGAAAUUGUUGAAAGGGAAGGGUUUGAGAUCAGACUCGAUAUUUUGUGAGCCUUGCCUUCGUGGCGGGGUGACCCGCAGCUUAUCGGGCCAGCAUCGGUUUGGGCGGUAGGAUAAUGGCGUAGGAAUGUGACUUUACUUCGGUGAAGUGUUAUAGCCUGCGUUGAUGCUGCCUGCCUAGACCGAGGACUGCGAUUUUAUCAAGGAUGCUG
rnacentral:rRNA from 1 species